UCUAGUACUCAAAGGCAGUUCCUAAGCUUUACCAUGGGCAAGGUGGCCCCACAAGACAGAUUCCUCAGUCCCAUAGCCAAGAAAUGGUGCCUGUGCUGAAACUUCUCAAUAGAAAUAUCACGGUGGGAGAAGAAGAGGCAUAUGGCUGGCUGCUGGUGCUCUACUGCAACAUCCACUGAAUUUCAUCCGACUCACUUGGACAGAAAGUCGUUAUCUUAUAUCAUUUUUAUUUUUUUGUGGUACAUGCAGAACCCUCACAGACUCAUAAAGUGAUACUCAUAAAUGCUUACUUACCCAUCUUCCAAAGCACACUUCUGAACUUCCUCACUCUGCCAUUAUUUGGUGGAUACUAAACAAGAUGCUAAUGAGCCAUAAGAUGAACUGCAAGAAGAGAUUAAAAGUACUUGGAUCGUGUACAAGUAAAAAAC